rnacentral:misc_RNA from 1 species
UUUCCGUAGGUGAACCUGCGGAAGGAUCAUUAAUGCGCCCCCGGACAUGAUCGGUCAGAAAUGGCCCGUUAUGCUUCGGCCAAUCGCCAUCCGUGUGUAGUGUAUAAUUGUUGCUUUGGUGGGCCGCCCCUUGGGCACCGGCUUCGGCUGGCCCGCGCCCGCCAGAGGACCCAAACCCUUGAUUUUAUACAGUAUCUUCUGAGUAAAUGAUUAAAUAAAUCAAAACUUUCAACAACGGAUCUCUUGGUUCUG